rnacentral:tRNA from 1 species
ACAGAUAUGGCCGAGUGGUUAAGGUGACUGACUUGAAAUCAGUUUCCAUCUUGGAGCGUAGGUUCGAAUCCUACUAUCUGCG